GUGCUCACUUCGGCAGCACAUAUACUAAAAUUGGAACGAUACAGAGAAGAUUAACAUGGCCCCUGCACAAGGAUGACAUGCAAAUUUGUGAAGCAUUCCAUAUUUUU
rnacentral:snRNA from 1 species